rnacentral:tRNA from 1 species
UGGGCCGGUAGCUCAGAAAGGCAGAGCAGCAGGCUCUUAACCUGCCCGUCGGGGGUUCAAAUCCCUCCCGGCUCGU